rnacentral:rRNA from 1 species
GAUGAACGCUGGCGGCGUGCCUAGUACAUGCAAGUCGAGCGAACAGACGAGGAGCUUGCUCCCCUGACGUUAGCGGCGGACGGGUGAGUAACACGUGGAUAACCUACCUAUAAGACUGGGAUAACUUCGGGAAACCGGAGCUAAUACCGGAUAAUAUAUUGAACCGCAUGGUUCAAUAGUGAAGGACGGUUUUGCUGUCACUUAUAGAUGGAUCCGCGCCGCAUUAGCUAGUUGGUAAGGUAACGGCUUACCAAGGCGACGAUGCGUAGCCGACCUGAGAGGGUGAUCGGCCACACUGGAACUGAGACACGGUCCAGACUCCUACGGGAGGCAGCAGUAGGGAAUCUUCCGCAAUGGGCGAAAGCCUGACGGAGCAACGCCGCGUGAGUGAUGAAGGUCUUCGGAUCGUAAAACUCUGUUAUUAGGGAAGAACAAAUGUGUAAGUAACUAUGCACGUCUUGACGGUACCUAAUCAGAAAGCCACGGCUAACUACGUG